GACACAAUGCCCAGAAAUAGUCCAACUUAGCUACGAGGGGAGUUUUACUUUUUCGAAUUCAAAUAGUUCAAGACACACAAAAAGGACUCACAGGCAAUUAUCACCAGUUAAAUAACUGGCGUGGAAAAUUAUAUAUACAGAUCUGGAAUUAUGGAUAGAUGCGUGCUGACUGAACUAACGAUGAUGUGCACCAAGCAACGGCACGGGUGACGGCGGAGUCACUUUACAAUAUCAAUUCUAAAAGGGGUGAAAGUGACUUUGAAAUUGAAUUUUCUACAAUUCAUCGGAUAACAAAUUGAUAGUUAUUUGCCAAGCGCAUGAAUACAAUGAAUCUCAUACCUACUAGGGGACAUUCUCCAAGAGAAAAAUGUACAUACGUAUCUAUAUUUUCUGAAAUUACUUGUUUAAAUUGAUGAUAUGAAUAAAACGGAAGUAUUUACUAGAAGUAAAAGAUUACAGAUAAAAACUUCGAAAGAUGCAUAAAGGACUUUUAAACAUUGA